UUUUGACUUUUAGAUUCAUUCAAUCAAUAAUGUAUUUGGUCUAUAAUAUAAAUCACAUACAUCAUUGAUUGAAUGAACCUAAAAGUUAAA
rnacentral:pre_miRNA from 1 species